GACAGAGGGGGCAAGCGUUGCUCGGAAUUACUGGGCGUAAAGGGCGCGUAGGCGGGAUGGCAAGUCGGUCGUGAAAUCCCUCGGCUCAACCGAGGAACGUCGAUCGAUACUGCUGUUCUUGAGGAUUGCAGAGGAGACUGGAAUUCCCGGUGUAGCGGUGAAAUGUGUAGAGAUCGGGAGAAACACCGGUGGCGAAGGCGGGUCUCUGGGCAAUUCCUGACGCUGAGGCGCGAAAGCGUGGGGAGCAAACGGG
rnacentral:rRNA from 1 species